AUGUUCUCUGUAGCUCUGAUACUGCUGCUGGCUGCUGGAUCCUGUGUGAACAGUAUUGAUCUCAUCCAGACAGACUCAAUGGUUGUGCAGCCUGGACAGUCUCUGACCAUCAGCUGUCAGGUCUCUGGUUAUUCUUUGACUGAUAACAGCUAUGCAACAGGUUGGAUCAGACAGAGUGAAGGAAAACCAAUGGACUGGAUUUCCCAUCAGUGGGGUGGAGGUACCCUUCAUCAAAAUGAUGCUCUGAAGAACAAGUUCAGCUACAGCAGAGACACUUCUGCUCUAACAGUGACUCUAAAAGGACAGAAUGUGCAGCCUGAGGACACAGCUGUGUAUUACUGUGUACGUGUUGAUGGUCAGACUCUGACAGAAUCUGAACCAGCGAUUAAAAGACCUGGAGAAUCCCACAGAUUGAUCUGUACAGCCUCUGGGUUGGACGUUAAUGGCUACUGGAUGGCCUGGAUCAGACAGGCUGCUGGAAAAGGACUGGAGUGGGUUGCUACUGAUACUAGUGGUGGCACCAACUACUACUCUCAGUCAGUUCAGGGCCGGUUUACCAUCUCCAGAGACAACAACAGAAAGCAGCUGUAUCUGCAGAUGAACAGCUGGUAG